CUCGAAUAACAUAUUGAGCCCAUGGACGGCCAAGUUCUUCCUCUGGAACUCUUCGCUGCUGUCCUGUGACACCGGCCUCGUCAUAGACAGGGACGCGUCCAUCAACACCACUCUGGACUCAAAUCAUGACCCUCUGGUUCCAAAGCCCAAGUCCUUACAAAUGAUAGAAAACCUUUCACACUCACUGCGUAAGAACUCAACCCGUAUUGUCUACACAGAAGAGAGCAGAGUGAACCACUACACACGCUUGACUUAGUUUCUUUUGAGAGACAAAAUGUAUUUUACACAAAGAAGGCAUUUGCAGCUAUUUGUACUUCUCCCUGUUCUAUUCUUCAGAUUGUAAAACACUUUGCCAACACUUCAGACUGGAGAGAAUGUUGUGAAAGACUCAAAAGAGAGCAUAAAAAAAAUCCACCUUUCAAUGCAACAUUAGAGGCCAUAACACCACCACAGACCGAAAUGGAAAUCACCAGCCCAUCACUACCAACUACAGUACAUGUCUGCGUCACAUCAAUCAGUCCCUCGCUUUUGGAGGAACCAUCACGUCAUCUUUACCUCCUGGUGAUGCUCCUCACAUGCAGAGGGAGUACCCGAAAGAUCUGUUUUCCAUUAGGGAGCACAGAGCACUGUACAUGUUUUGACGCACUGUAUUAAAAAUGAUUUGCUCAUCA